UACCUAAGUUUGACACAAAGCCCUUGGCACAUAGCCACUUUUGUCUAAAACACAUUUAACCAUAGCCCCCAAAGUGAGACUUUGGAAUCUCACCCAGAGGGAAGAACACUUCACUUGGAACUUUUCCCAGUCAGACCCCGAAAGCUGUCUUCGGGAUUCCCCAGCAUCUA